UGGGGAAACCCAGUGUGAUUCGUCACACUAUCAUUAACUGAAUCCAUAGGUUAAUGAGGCGAACCGGGGGAACUGAAACAUCUAAGUACCCCGAGGAAAAGAAAUCAACCGAGAUUCCCCCAGUAGCGGCGAGCGAACGGGGAGGAGCCCAGAGCCUGAAUCAGCAUGUGUGUUAGUGGAAGCGUCUGGAAAGGCGCGCGAUACAGGGUGACAGCCCCGUACACAAAAGCGUAUGUGCUGUGAGCUCGAUGAGUAGGGCGGGACACGUGGUAUCCUGUCUGAAUAUGGGGGGACCAUCCUCCAAGGCUAAAUACUCCUGACUGACCGAUAGUGAACCAGUACCGUGAGGGAAAGGCGAAAAGAACCCCGGCGAGGGGAGUGAAAAAGAACCUGAAACCGUGUACGUACAAGCAGUGGGAGCCCCACCACUAAGCCAGUGGUGAACUCCACAUACGCAUCCUUUGCUGAGGAUACGGUUAACGGAGCGAAAGCGACGUUCAACCGCAAAAGAAGCAGAGGGGGCUUAGUGGUGGGGUGACUGCGUACCUUUUGUAUAAUGGGUCAGCGACUUAUAUUCUGUAGCAAGGUUAACCGAAUAGGGGAGCCGGAGGGAAACCGAGUCUUAAUUGGGCGUUAAGUUGCAGGGUAUAGACCCGAAACCCGGUGAUCUAGCCAUGGGCAGGUUGAAGGUUGGGUAACACUAACUGGAGGACCGAACCGACUAAUGUUGAAAAAUUAGCGGAUGACCUGUGGCUGGGGGUGAAAGGCCAAUCAAACCGGGAGAUAGCUGGUUCUCCCCGAAAGCUAUUUAGGUAGCGCCUCGUGAAUUCAUCUCCGGGGGUAGAGCACUGUUUCGGCUAGGGGGCCAUCCCGGCUUACCAACCCGAUGCAAACUGCGAAUACCGGAGAAUGUUAUCACGGGAGACACACGGCGGGUGCUAACGUCCGUCGUGAAGAGGGAAACAACCCAGACCGCCAGCUAAGGUCCCAAAGUCAUGGUUAAGUGGGAAACGAUGUGGGAAGGCCCAGACAGCCAGGAUGUUGGCUUAGAAGCAGCCAUCAUUUAAAGAAAGCGUAAUAGCUCACUGGUCGAGUCGGCCUGCGCGGAAGAUGUAACGGGGCUAAACCAUGCACCGAAGCUGCGGCAGCGACGCUUAUGCGUUGUUGGGUAGGGGAGCGUUCUGUAAGCCUGUGAAGGUGUGUCGUGAGGCAUGCUGGAGGUAUCAGAAGUGCGAAUGCUGACAUAAGUAACGAUAAAGCGGGUGAAAAGCCCGCUCGCCGGAAGACCAAGGGUUCCUGUCCAACGUUAAUCGGGGCAGGGUGAGUCGACCCCUAAGGCGAGGCCGAAAGGCGUAGUCGAUGGGAAACGGGUUAAUAUUCCCGUACUUGGUGUUACUGCGAAGGGGGGACGGAGAAGGCUAUGUUGGCCGGGCGACGGUUGUCCCGGUUUAAGCGUGUAGGUGUGUGUUCCAGGUAAAUCCGGUUCACUUUAACACUGAGGCGUGAUGACGAGGCACUACGGUGCUGAAGUAACAAAUGCCCUGCUUCCAGGAAAAGCCUCUAAGCAUCAGGUAACAUCAAAUCGUACCCCAAACCGACACAGGUGGUCAGGUAGAGAAUACCAAGGCGCUUGAGAGAACUCGGGUGAAGGAACUAGGCAAAAUGGUGCCGUAACUUCGGGAGAAGGCACGCUGACACGUAGGUGAAGUGAUUUACUCAUGGAGCUGAAGUCAGUCGAAGAUACCAGCUGGCUGCAACUGUUUAUUAAAAACACAGCACUGUGCAAACACGAAAGUGGACGUAUACGGUGUGACGCCUGCCCGGUGCCGGAAGGUUAAUUGAUGGGGUCAGCGCAAGCGAAGCUCCUGAUCGAAGCCCCGGUAAACGGCGGCCGUAACUAUAACGGUCCUAAGGUAGCGAAAUUCCUUGUCGGGUAAGUUCCGACCUGCACGAAUGGCGUAAUGAUGGCCAGGCUGUCUCCACCCGAGACUCAGUGAAAUUGAACUCGCUGUGAAGAUGCAGUGUACCCGCGGCAAGACGGAAAGACCCCGUGAACCUUUACUAUAGCUUGACACUGAACAUUGAGCCUUGAUGUGUAGGAUAGGUGGGAGGCUUU
rnacentral:rRNA from 1 species